GAAACGAUUCAUACUGCAAGCCGCCUAAAUGCAGGGCUUUUGAUGAUAUUCCCCGCCAACAAGGCAUGAAGGUGGGGCUUGCCUCCAUCUGGCUCUCCUGCCACUUUCAACAACACACCCCACAUCCGAUCCUGCUUAGAGUCGAAGAUGAAUCUGGCAUAAUACAAACAGCACUGGACUGGAAGCAUGAAGUUUCUCUUAUCUGUGCCUUGGUUUCCUCAUGUGGAAAAUGAAAAUGUUGACAUAAAUAAUCACACAGGCAACAGCAAUCAUAAUGGGCUUGGAGCACCAGUCCCACAACAUCACAGGACAUCCAGACAUAAUUGCAUUAAUAAUGUUGUGCAUAAUCGCACAACUCUCUGGUUAUUCAGCAUCGUCCAAUAUGUGAAUAAAGCUCUGAGGAAAAA
rnacentral:lncRNA from 1 species